rnacentral:pre_miRNA from 7 species
AUUUCAAGUUCUUGGGGACCCCUCAAAUCCCGGACGAGCCCGCAAAUGUAAGAUGCCCCCCCAAGAAGGAGCCCCCACUCAAGUCUCAGGAUGCAGCGUCACCCAAAAAAACAUGAGAGACC